rnacentral:rRNA from 1 species
UCAGUCGACUCCUACGGGGAGGCAGCAGUGGGGAAUAUUGCACAAUGGGGGAAACCCUGAUGCAGCCAUGCCGCGUGUGUGAAGAAGGCCUUCGGGUUGUAAAGCACUUUCAGUAGGGAGGAAGGUAGUGUAGUUAACACCUGCAUUAUUUGACGUUACCUACAGAAGAAAGCACCGGCUAACUCCGUGCCAGCAGCCGCGGUAAUACGGAGGGUGCGAGCGUUAAUCGGAAUUACUGGGCGUAAAGCGCAUGCAGGCGGCCUGUUAAGUCAGAUGUGAAAGCCCGGGGCUUAACCUCGGAAUUGCAUUUGAAACUGGCAGGCUAGAGUCUUGUAGAGGGGGGUAGGAAUUUCAGGUGUAGCGGUGAAAAUGCGUAGAGAUCUGAAGGAAUACCGGUGGCGAAGGCGGCCCCCUGGACAAAGACUGACGCUCAGAUGCGAAAGCGUGGGGAGCAAACAGGAUUAGAUACCCUGGUAG